AACGAACGCUGGCGGCAUGCCUAACACAUGCAAGUCGAACGAGACCUUCGGGCCUAGUGGCGCACGGGUGCGUAACGCGUGGGAACCUGCCCUUAGGUUCGGAAUAACUCCCCGAAAGGGGUGCUAAUACCGGAUAAUGUCUUCGGACCAAGGAGUUAGGGCAUUUGGAUGGGCCGUGUUGGGUUUGGUCGGUGGUAGGGGAAAAGCCUACCAAGGCGACGGUGCAUGGCUGGGUGGAGAGGAAGAGCAGCCACACUGGGACUGAGACACGGGCCAGACGCCGACGCGAGGCAGCAGUGGGGAAUAUUGGAGAAUGGGCGAAAGCCUGAUCCAGCAAUGCCGGGUGAGUGAUGAAGGCCGUAGGGUUGUAAAGCUCUUUUACCCGGGAUGAUAAUGACGGUACCGGGAGAAUAAGCACCGGCUAACUCCGUG
rnacentral:rRNA from 1 species